rfam:Triticum urartu cultivar G1812 contig16064, whole genome shotgun sequence.
AUGGGUAUAGGUUAAUGGUAGACUUAUCGACUUCCAAUCGACAGAUGUCAGUUCAAAUCUGACUAUCCAUA